AUAUGUGAAUGUGGCCAUGCAAAGUGUGUGACAUUUCAUUAUCUACCCGGUAAAGAGGUUGCCCUGGUUCAGCUUGAAGAACUGACAGACUGCUAUCCACUUGUGGCCUAUACAGUUUGUUCCAGACGUAUGGUAACCCUGAAGAGACACAUCGUCAUCAAAGAUUCAAAAAUCAGGAUGGCAGGACCAGUUAGCUUCAGAGUCCUUUUUGGAAGUGAAGAUGAUGCAAGAAAACUAACCAUUAAAUCCGGAAUACCGUCUUCUGUGGAUGAAUUGGCUUUUGAAAUUAAGACCUUCUUUGGAGUAACAGAGCAGUUUAGGCUUCAAUACAAAGACGUAGACUU